rnacentral:rRNA from 1 species
UACGAAGGGGGCUAGCGUUGUUCGGAACCACUGGGCGUAAAGGGCGCGUAGGCGGCUUUGUAAGUCGGGGGUGAAAGCCUGUGGCUCAACCACAGAAUUGCCUUCGAUACUGGCGAUCUUGAGUCCGGAAGAGGUGAGUGGAACUCCUAGUGUAGAGGUGGAAUUCGUAGAUAUUAGGAAGAACACCAGUGGCGAAGGCGGCUCACUGGUCCGAUACUGACGCUGAGGAGCGAAAGCGUGGGGAGCGAACAGG